AUUCUUUCGCAGAGGCAAUAUCAUAGCUUAUGAGGUUUAUCCGAAGCGUGAUCAUUGCUGGUUGAAAACUUUACCCAAUACCCCGCUUGGCUGACUUGAAAAAUAGUCAGCCAUGGCAAUUUUUGCUAGUCUCUCUAGAGA
ensembl:snRNA U4 U4 spliceosomal RNA